UUCAGGGACCAUAGGAACCCUCUUGGAGGACUCUCGGGGGCUUGGAGGACUCAGGGACCAUAGAAUCCUCCUUGGAGGACUCUUGGGGGGGCUGGGAGGACUUUUGGACAGUCGGAGUCCUUCCUCGGAGGACUUAGGAACCAUAGAAUCCUCCUUUCCUUCCUCGGAGGACUUAGGAACCAUAGAAUCCUCCUUGGAGGACUCUUGGGAGGGCUUGGAGGACUUAGGUACAGUCAGACUCCUUCCUUGGAGGACCCAGUGCCAUAGAAUCGCCCUUGGAGAACUCUGGGGCUCCUUGGAGGACCCAAAGACCACCAAACCCCCUUCGGAGGACAGUGACACCCUUCCUUCCGACCUCGGAGGACCCGUCACCAACCGGAAGAGCUCCCCUACCUGUAGGCCCUCCCCCGGGGCCGACUGUAGCCGCUGUAGAAUCGCGCUCGGCUCGCCCCGUAACCGCCGCCUCCGCCGCGACCCCGGUAACGAGAACGGGGGAAACCCCGAUCCGUCGUGCUGAUUCCGGGGCGGUUCGUCCGCUUCGGGAUCACCUGCGGGACGACACGAUGCCCCCGUCGUUGCGAUAGAGGUCCGACUGUCGCGAUGGGACGCUCUCCCGUCGCGAUAGAGCUCCCCGUCGCUGCGAUAGAGGUCCGACCGUCGUGAUGGGAUGCUCUCCCAUCGCGAUAGAGAUCCCCGUCGCUGCUAUAGAGGUCCAACUGUCGCGAUAGGACACCCGCCUGUCGCGAUAGAGCUCCCAGUCGCUGCUAUAGAGGUCCGACUGUCGCGAUAGGACACCCGCCUGUCGCGAUAGAGCUCCCAGUCACUGUUAUAAAGGUCCGACCGUCGCGAUAGGAAGCUCUCCCAUCGCGAUAGAGCUCCCCAUCGUCGCAAUAGACAUAGCAACGUGACAUAGCACUCCUCCAUCACAAUAUAAUGCCCCCACCCCAUUGUGAUCCAGCAUGUUCU
rnacentral:lncRNA from 1 species